rnacentral:rRNA from 1 species
UACGUAGGGGGCAAGCGUUGUCCGGAAUCAUUGGGCGUAAAGAGCGCGUAGGCAGUCCGAUAAGUCGGCUGUGAAAGUCAGGGGCUCAACCCUUGAAAGCCGGCCGAUACUGUCGGACUAGAGUUCGGAAGAGGCGAGUGGAAUUCCCGGUGGUAGCGGUGAAAUGCGUAGAUAUCAGGAGGAACACCAAUGGCGAAGGCAGCUCGCUGGGACGUGACUGACGCUGAGACGCGAAAGCGUGGGGAGCAAACAGG